rnacentral:rRNA from 1 species
GAUCAUGGCUCAGAACGAACGCUGGCGGCGUGGAUAAGACAUGCAAGUCGAGCGCUGGCUGCAGGGUAGCAAUAUUCUACAGUUGGAGCGGCGCAAGGGUGCGUAACACGUGGGUAAUCUGCCGUGAAGUUCGGAAUAAUUCCGCGAAAGCGGGACUAAUACCGGAUGUGAAUCCUGGGAGGCCUCUCCCGGUGUUUAAAGUUGGGGACCGUAAGGCCUGACGCUUCAUGAUGAGCCCGCGGCCUAUCAGCUAGUUGGUGAGGUAACGGCUCACCAAGGCUAAGACGGGUAGCUGGUCUGAGAGGACGACCAGCCACACUGGAACUGAGACACGGUCCAGACACCUACGGGUGGCAGCAGUCGAGAAUUUUUCACAAUGGGGGAAACCCUGAUGGAGCGACGCCGCGUGGGGGAUGAAUGGCUUCGGCCCGUAAACCCCUGUCAUUCGCGAUCAACCCUUAUUAUUUAAAAGAUGAUAAGCUAUAGUAGCGGCAAAAGAAGGGACGGCUAAAAAUCC